AGAACUCCGUUUUGGAAACAUGGCUUGGACAGUUUGUCAGUUGAGUAAAUGCUGAUUAUGAUCCUGUGUCACUUGGAUCCAAAAGAGUUUUGGGCAGUCACCUGGUUCUACCUGAUCUUGAAAGGAGAGGUUGCUCUGAGGAAAACCUGAGUGGCUCACCCUGGCUCUCUUCCCAGCAUGGGAUUCUGACAUUAUCCAUACAAUGAUGAUGAUUGUAACAACCCCAAGUCUGUACAUCAGAAGAAGAGGACCCGGUCUUCGGUGCUC